CCUACGGGAGGCAGCAGUGGGGAAUUUUGGACAAUGGGCGCAAGCCUGAUCCAGCCAUGCCGCGUGUGGGAAGAAGGCCUUCGGGUUGUAAACCACUUUUGUCAGGGAAGAAACGGUCUGGUCUAAUAAACCGGACUAAUGACGGUACCUGAAGAAUAAGCACCGGCUAACUACGUGCCAGCAGCCGCGGUAAUACGUAGGGUGCAAGCGUUAAUCGGAAUUACUGGGCGUAAAGCGUGCGCAGGCGGCUUUGCAAGACAGAUGUGAAAUCCCCGGGCUCAACCUGGGAACUGCAUUUGUGACUGCAAGGCUAGAGUACGGCAGAGGGGGGAUGGAAUUCCGCGUGUAGCAGUGAAAUGCGUAGAUAUGCGGAGGAACACCGAUGGCGAAGGCAAUCCCCUGGGCCUGUACUGACGCUCAUGCACGAAAGCGUGGGGAGCAAACAGGAUUAGAUACCCUGGUAGUCCACGCCCUAAACGAUGUCAACUGGUUGUUGGGAGGGUUUCUUCUCAGUAACGAAGCUAACGCGUGAAGUUGACCGCCUGGGGGAGGACGGCCGCGAGUAGUUAACGUUACGAAAGAAGUUAGUACGGCGUUGNGACGNGCCGACGGACGACGACGAGGGAGGAGG
rnacentral:rRNA from 1 species